AUUGAACGCUGGCGGCGUGCCUAACCCAUGCAAGUCGAGCGAUUCUCUUCGGAGAAGAGCGGCGGACGGGUGAGUAUCUACGCAUAGGAGAGGAAUAACAUUUGGAAACAAUUGAUAAUACCUCGUAAUGCUAUUAAUUUAGUUAAAGACUUUUCGCCUAUGUAUGAGCUUGCGGCUGAUUAGCUAGUUGGUGAGGUAAUGGCUCACCAAGGCGACGAUCGGUAGCUGGUCUGAGAGGAUGAUCAGCCACACUGGGACUGAGACACGGCCCAGACUCCUACGGGAGGCAGCAGGGGGGAAUAUUGGACAAUGGGCGCAAGCCUGAUCCAGCCAUGCCGCGUGAGUGAUGAAGGCCCUAGGGUUGUAAAGCUCUUUCGCCAGGGACGAUAAUGACGGUACCUGGAUAAGAAGCCCCGGCUAACUUCGUGCCAGCAGCCGCCGUAAAAC
rnacentral:rRNA from 1 species